rnacentral:rRNA from 1 species
CUGAGUACGGCGGAACACGUGAAAUUCCGUCGGAAUCCGGGAGGACCAUCUCCCAAGGCUAAAUACUCCCUAGUGACCGAUAGUGAACCAGUACCGUGAGGGAAAGGUGAAAAGCACCCCGGAAGGGGAGUGAAACAGUUCCUGAAACCGUGUGCCUACAAGUAGUUAGAGCCCGUUAAUGGGUGAUAGCGUGCCUUUUGUAGAAUGAACCGGCGAGUUACGAUUUGUUGCAAGGUUAAGCGGAAAAAGCGGAGCCGUAGCGAAAGCGAGUCUGAAUAGGGCGCAUAAGUAACAGGUCGUAGACCCGAAACCAGGUGAUCUACCCAUGUCCAGGAUGAAGGUAAGGUAAUACUUACUGGAGGUCCGAACCCACGCACGUUGAAAAGUGCGGGGAUGAGGUGUGGGUAGCGGAGAAAUUCCAAUCGAACUUGGAGAUAGCUGGUUCUCUCCGAAAUAGCUUUAGGGCUAGCCUCGAGGUAAAGAGUCAUGGAGGUAGAGCACUGUUUGGACUAGGGGCCCUUCUCGGGUUACCGAAUUCAGAUAAACUCCGAAUGCCAUGUACUUAUACUCGGGAGUCAGACUGCGAGUGAUAAGAUCCGUAGUCGAAAGGGAAACAGCCCAGACCACCAGUUAAGGUCCCCAAAUAUAUGUUAAGUGGAAAAGGAUGUGGGGUUGCUUAGACAACCAGGAUGUUGGCUUAGAAGCAGCCACCAUUGAAAGAGUGCGUAAUAGCUCACUGGUCGAGUGACCCCGCGCCGAAAAUGUACCGGGGCUAAACAUAUUACCGAAACUGUGGAUGAACCUCUUUAGAGGUUCGUGGUAGGAGAGCGUUCUAAGGGCGGUGAAGUCAGACCGGAAGGACUGGUGGAGCGCUUAGAAGUGAGAAUGCCGGUAUGAGUAGCGAAAGAAGGGUGAGAAUCCCUUCCACC